CAAAUGGCUAAUUAAAAUAAAAACAUGGAGAAUAAUAUCAGAAUCACAUGAUUCUCUUACAUACAUUUUAUUGUUUCUGUGCUUAUCUCCAUAUUCGUUUCCCAAUCAAUGGUUUCCAUAUGUAAAACUAACUUCAAUGUUGGCAUGUACUUAUAUUGCAGGAUUAUUAUACUUUGGAAUUAAUUGUGACAGAUAUGAGUGAAGGACAUUGAAGGGUAAAAAGGUUACAGUUGCUGGCAAGAAGAAAAAGUAGAUAUUUAGCAUCCUUUUGAGUUGUGUAAAAAAUAACAAUGUUUUGGAUGAUGCAAUUGUUUUCAUUGAAUUGGAUGUAAUUUUGUUGUUUUUUUAUUAGUAUAUAUAUUCUUAGCAUCUUAGCAUAUAAAAAAUACAAAGUUUAUUAGUA